CUCUCCCGCUGAAGCGGGUUCCAAGGCCACCGUGAGGGGGACCAUCCAUCCAGGAGAGUACUGGGCAGGCUGCAAAUGUCUGUGUUAAAACAGCUCUGCUGGGCUAAGACAGGACAGAAGCAGACAGCAGGUGGAUGAGACACAAUUUCCUAUCCAGCAGAACCUGCAGCAAGCUCCACAGCACCCUCCAUGGGCUCAGUCUUGCUCCCGGGAAGAUGGUUAAUUCCAUCAGCUCCUUCUGGCCGGCAGCAGGAAGAGUGGCCCUGUGUGUGCCAGGCCCUGCAGUCUCUCCUCUCAGCUGGUGUCUCCAGUGAGGGACCUGAGUCAUCGCACACAUGAGCCUGUGCUCAGCCUGCACAUCUCCCGCCUCCCACCAGCUGCUCCUCAACUGCCAGGGCCAGACUGUGGCAAAAUCUCACUCCUCUGCCGAUGCUGGGGUUUCCCUCGUGUCUGGGAGGUGGUGUGCUUGGUGGCCUGAGCACUGCAGUGAAUCCAUGUUUCCCUCCCAGCACCCUGUUCUGUCCUCCAACUUGGCCGACAGCUCUGGCCAGGGACGCAGCCCAGCUGGUGCCCACCCCGCACUCUGUCCAUUUCAUAAGAGCCCUUGGUUUCCUCACUUCCCUCAGAUUUUGCCAAGAGAAUGGUCCUGGUGUGGCCCAGAAAGGCCAGCGGGGUGCAGCCUGGGACUGAAAGCAGAGGCGGCUCUGGUGGGGAAAAAGUAGCUCUCCCAGCCUAGCCCUACUGGUGGGCGGCACCUCCUGGCUCCAGGCCAUCUUUUGUCCCAGUCCUAGGUAAGAAAAACACAAACAAAAGCCAGUCCCAUGGCACUCGAGAAGCAGGAGGCCGUUCCCUGACAGCAACAUGCUGUGUGCACAGACACACGGGUGGACAGGAGGCAGAGCUCGGGGUUGCUGCGGAGCGGGCAGGACACUGGAGCGGCAGGCAGUGCGGACCCGCCGGGCAGCCGUGCACGGUUGUCGUCCUCAGCGGCAGGAGCCAGUUUGUUGCUCAGGGCCUUGUCUUUUUACAAAGAGCCCCAGGCCCCGGGGGCUUCUCUGGGUGCCUCUUUGCUGCCAUGUCUGCACGCGGGCGGAGAGCAGACCAGGCUACCGACCCUCUCGCUUUGCUGUCUUCACGUGGAAAAGCCAGUGUCGUAGCCCCAAAGGAGGGGAAACUGUAUUGAUUUGGGGAGCCUCUAUGUUGAUUUCAAAACAGAUUGUCUCCUGUGUUCUCAAAGACUGGAAGCGAACCCCACAACCGCCUUAGGCCACAAAAGCUUUAUCCUUUCUAAUUAGCAUCCCUGUGACCUGCUCUGCGCCCUGCAGAUAUUUUGCUCAGCCAGCCAGAAGGAGGGAGGCCAGACACCAGCCCCCACAGACCUGCGGCUGCGACCCCCUGCCUGGGGACGAUGGGGUCGGGGUCCAGUAGCUGCCCCAGAAACAAGUGGGGCUGCAGGAGGCUGAUGGUGAGCUUGGAGGUUGGCAGAAUUCUAAAUCUGGGCACUGCAGGGUCCCCACAGGUCACGACCCUACUCUGCUCCACCCAGGCUCCGGAGGACCUGAGCAGGAACCUCUGCAGGGGGGGCCCGGGGCUCCCUGUCCUCUCAGCAGCCGGCAGUGCUCCCUGACAGCCCGGGCCUCUCCCUCCAGUAGUUCGGUAGUUUGCUGUCACCAACAUGGCUGGGCCUGGGACAGGCUCCUCCUCUCCCUCCAGAAGCCAGGCAGUCCCUCCUGCCUCAGUUUCUCAGACUAGGCCGCCUCUCCCAUCGCGAGACACUGAAGACCCUCAGCUGUUUCCAUCUGCCCAGUCUGACUGCUGGAUCGCCCUCUGUGUGCGUUGGUUUGCUGUGUUCUUGCUACUCGCCCUUGGAUAAGAUUUCUUCUCUACUCAUGAAGCUGCGUGUCCUGGAGGGCAGGGCCGCACCUCACAUGCAUGUUGCCCACAUAGCUCAGCAACAGAUGCUCUCACGCUUGUUAAAAGUAAAACCGGGCCAGGCGCAGUGGCUCACGCCUGUAAUCCCAGCACUUUGGGAGGCCGAGGUGGGUGGAUCACCUGAAGUCAGGAGUUUGAGACUAGCCUGACCAACAUGGAGAAAUCCCGUCUCUACUAAAAAUACAAAAAAUUAGCUGGGCGUGGUGGCACAUGCCUGUAAUCCCAGCUACUCGGAGGCAGGAGAAUUGCUUGAACCCAGGAGGCGGAGGUUGCGGUGAGCCAAGAUCACGCCAUAGCAAUUGCACUCCGGCCUGGGCAACAAGAGCAAAACUCUGUCAAAAAGAAAAAAAAAAAAAAAAAAAAGUAAAACCAAUUAGCCAAUGUAAAGGAGUUUAACUGAGCAAAGAGUGAUUCACAAAUCAGGCAGCCUCCCGACCCAGAGUGGACUCAGAGACUCCAGCACAGCCAUGUGGUGGAAGAAAAUUUAAGACCGAAAAAGGAAAGAGAUGUACAGAAAAUGGAAAUGAGGUACGGAAACAGCCAGAUUUGUUAAGCUUGGGGUUUGCAGUAGUUGAACAUGGUUGAAGAGCUGGCCACCUUAGAUUGGCCAAAACUCAGCGAUUGGCACAAGAGUAGGCUACGGUCUGUUUACAAUUCCAUUUAGGUUACUGUUCGUGAUGUACAGAGAAAGCUUUAGGUCGAAAUUAAAAUACACAAGGAGGCAGCUUUAGGCCACACUUGAUUUGAAAGCUAGAGAGGUCUGGUGGAGGCUGCAUUCUCCUCUCCAGGAAGUACAUUUGUGGGCUGCUAAGCCACAAGAUAAGGAAGAACACAAGACAGCUAGAGAAGGCCACGAGCUGGACCCAAUACCCACAUAUUCAGGAGUAAACACUGGUGCUGUGAAAGGGUCAGUGCCUCCAUAAACGUCUCCACAGACAUAGAGCUCUGAGCGGACACGGACCACUACACACAACAGAGCUACACACAACAGAGCUUGACAAGCCACAGAGCUCCACAAACCGCAGAGCUCUCUACAGACACAGACAUCUCCUCACCACAGAGCUUUCCAAACCAAAGAGCUCUCCACAUACACAGAGCUCUCCACACCACAGAUCUCUCCACAGACACUGAGCUCUCCUCAACACAGAGCUCUCUACUGACACAGACAUAUUUAUAGACACAGAUCUCCACACAAGACUCUCCACACCACGGAGCACUCUACACUACAGAGCUCACCAGACCACAGAAUUCUCCACAGACACAGAGCUCUCCACGCUACAGAGCUCUCCAAAGACACAGAACUCUCCACACCAGAGAGCUCUCCACAGACAGAGUUCUCCACACAACGUAGCUCUUUACAGACACAGAGCUCUCCACACCACUUAACUCUCAACAGUCACAGAAAUCUCCACACCACAGAACUCUCCUCAGUCACAGAGCUACCCACACCACAUAGCUCUCUGCACUACAGAGCUUGCCACAUUCACAGACCUCUCCACCAACACAGAGCUCUCCAGACACACAACUCUCCAUACAACAGAGAUCUCCACAGACACAGAGCUUGCCACACCACAGAACUCUCCACAGAAACAGAGAUCCCCACAGCGCAGAGUUCACAGACACAGGGCUCUCCACACCACUGGGUUCUCCACAGACAUAGAACUCUCCACAGAUACAAAACUCCCCACAGACACAGGACUCUCCACAGACACAGAGCUCUUCAUAGACGCAGAGCUCUCCCCACCACAGAGCUCUUCAGACCACACACCUCUCCAUAGACACAGAACUUUCCACAGACUUAGAAUUCUCCACAGACACAGAGAUCCCCACACCACAUAGUUAUCCACACUACAGAGCUCUCCACAGACGCAGAGCUCUCCACAGACACAGGACUGUCCACACCACAGAGCUCUUCAAACCAUGGAGCUCUUCACACUGCAGAGCUCUCCACACCACAGGGCUCUCCACAGACACUGAGAUCUCCUCAAUACAGAGCUCUCCACUAACACAGAUCUAUUUACAGACACAGAUCUCCACACCACAGAGCUGUCCACACCACAGAACUCUUCACAGACACAGAGCUCUCCACAUACAUGGAGCUCUCCAUAGACACAAACCUCACCACAUACACAGAGCUCUUGACACCACAGAGCUCUCUGCAGACAAAGAGCUCAACACACCACAGAGCUCUCCACACCACAUAGUUCUCCACAUACAGAGAGCCCUCCACAUACACAGAAUUCUUCACAUACAGAGCUCUUCACACCACAGAGCUCUCCAGAUAGAGAGUUCUUCACACCACAGAGCUCUUCACACCAUAGAGCUCUCUACAACACAGAACUCUUCACACCGUGGAACACUCCACAGACACAGAGAUCACCACACCACAGAGCUCUCCACAGACACAGAGAUCCCCACACCACAUAGUUAUCCACACUACAGAACUCUCCACACCGCAGAGCUCUUCACAGACAUACAGCUCUCCACAGACACAGGGCUCUCCAUACCACUGAGCUCUCCACAGAAAGAACUCUUCACAGACAUAGAGUCUCCACAUCACUGAGCUCUUCACAGACACAGAACUUUCCACAGACACGAGACUCUCCACAGACACAGAGGUCUCCACACCAUAGACCUCUCCACACCACAGAGCUCUUCACACCACAGAGUUCCUCAUACCACAGAGCUCUCCACAGACACAGAGCUCUCCACAGACACAGGGCUCUCCACACCACAGGGCUCUCCACAGACACUGAGAUCUCCUCAACACAGAGGUCUUCACUGACACAGAUCUAUUUACAGACACAGAUCUCCACACCACACAGUUCUCCACACCACAAAGCUCUCCAAAGACACACAGUUCUUCACACCACAGAGCUCUCCGCAGACACACAGCUCUCUCUACAGACACACGUCUCUCUACAGACACAAACCUCUUCACAUACAUGGAGCUCUUCACACCACAGAGCUCUUCACACCACAGAGUUCCCCACAUUAAGAGAGCUCCCCACAUCACAUCACAGAGUUCUUCACACCACAGAGCUCUCCACGUAGGAAGUUCUUCAUGCCUCAGAGCUCUUCACAGCACAGACCUCUCAACAUACACCGAGCUCUCCAGACCACAGAACUCCCCACAUCACGGAACUCCCCACAUACCCAGAGCUGUCCACAUCACAGCGCUCUGUACACCACUUAGCUCUCCACAGACACAGAGCUCGCUACAAUACAGAGCUCUCCAGACCACAGAAUUCUCCAAAUACACAGAGCUUUCCACACCACAGAACUCUCCACACCACAGAGCUCUUCACACCACAGCGCUCUCCUCACCAUAGGGCUCUCCACAGACACAGGGGUGUCCACUCCACAGAUCUCUUCACACCACAGAGCUCUCCACAUACACAGAGGUCUCCACACCACAGAGCUCUUUACUGACACAGAACUCUCCACACCACAGCAAUCUCCACAGACACAGAGCUCUUCAUACCACAGAGCUCUUCACAUACACAGAGCUCUUCACAGACAUAGAGCUCUCCACAGAGAUGUCCGCACAGCAGAGCACUCCACAUACACACAGCUGUUCACACCACAGAGAUCUCCAGACCACAGAAUUCUCCAUAGACACAGAAGGCUCUGCACACACAGAACUCUCCACACCACAGAGCUCUUCACAUAUGCAGAGCUUUCCACAGAUAGAGCUCUCCACAGAGAUGUCCACACAACAGAGCUCUACAGAGCUGUUCAUGCCACAGAGAUCUCCAAACCACAGUUCUCCAUAGACACAGAACUCUUGACAUACGUGGAGCUCUCCACAUUACAGAGCUCUUCACAUAUGCAGAACACUUCACACCACAGAGCUCUCCAAACCACAGAGCUCUCCCCAACAAAGCUCUCCACAACACAGAGCACUCCACAGACACAGAGCUCCCCACACCACAGAGCUCUCCACACCACAGAGCUCUCCACAUACACAGAACUCACCACAGACACAGAGCUCUCCACACAACAGAGCUCUCCACAGUCACAGAGAUCUCCACCACAGAGCUCUCCACAUGCCCAGGGAUCUCCACACCACAGAGCUCUCCACAUCACAGAGCUCUCCACAUACAGAGUCUAGCUCUCCACACCACAGAGCUCUUCACACCACAGAGUUCUUCACAUACACAGAACUCUCCACAACACAAAGCCCUCAACAGACAGCGCUCUCCACACCACAGAGCUCUCCACAUACACAGAGCUCUCCACAUACACAGAGCUCACCACAGACACAGAGCUCACCACAGACACAGAGCUCUCCACAUACACAGAGCUCACCACAGACACAGAGCUCACCACAGACACAGAGCUCUCCACAUACACAGAGCUCACCACAGACACAGAGCUCACCACAGACACAGAGCUCUCCACAUACACAGAGCUCACCACAGACACAGAGCUCACCACAGACACAGAGCUCUCCACAUACACAGAGCUCACCACAGACACAGAGCUCACCACAGACACAGAGCUCUCCACAUUCACAGAGCUCUCCACACCACAGAGCUCUCUACAUACACAGAGCUCUCCACAUCACAGAACUCUCCACAUACAGAGAGCUCUCCACAAACACAGAGCUCGCCACACCACAGAGAUCUCUAAACCACAGAGCUGUCCACAUACAAAGAGCUCUUUACACCACAGAGAUCUCCACACAGCAGAGGUCUCCACAAACACAGAGCUCUCCACACCACAGAGCUCUUGACACCACAGAGCUCAACACACCAAAGAGCUUUCCACAGACACAGAGCUCUCCACAGACACAGAGCUCUCCACAGACACAGAGCUUCCAGACCACAGAGCUCUCCACAACACGGUUUUUCACACCACAGAACUCUUUAUACCACAGAGCUCUCCACAGACACAGAGCUCUCAAGGCCACAGAGCUGUCCACACCACAGAGCUCUCCACAGACACAGAGCUCUCCACAUACACAACUUUCCACGCCACAGAGGUCUCCACAUACAGAGCUCUCCACAGACACAGAGCUUUCCACACCACAGACACCCAUGUACUUACCCCUAGGUCUGACUCCCCUUAGCAUAGACCCCCAACACUUAAAUUUUCUGCACUCACACUGGCAGCUGUGACUUCAGCGGCACUGAUGCCCUCUACACUGACCCCCUCAUCAAUGACAUUUGCAGCACUGACCUUCCCAGCACUGACCCCUCUAGCACUGACCCCCUGCACUGACCCUUUUUGCACUGACCACUGCCUGCAAUGAGCACCCCUCCCCUGAUACCACAGCACUGACACCCAUACGACCGACCUCCCCAGCAGGUACAUCUCCUGCACUGACCUCCACAGCACUGACACCCCCAGCACUGACUCCCCCAGCACUGACACCCUCGGCACUGACACCCCCGGCACUGGCACCCCCGGCACUGACACCCCCAACACUGACACCCCAGCACUGACACCCCCAGCACUGACCCCCCAGCACUGCUCCCUCAGCACUGAUCCCCCCAGCACUGACACCCCAGCACUGACCCCCCAGCACUGCUCCCUCAGCACUCAUCCCCCCAGCACUGACAUCCCCAGCACUGACCCCCCAGCACAGCUCCCUCAGCACUGAUCCCCCCAGCACCGACGUCCAAGCACUGACUUCCCCAGCACUGACCUCCCAGGUACUGACAACCCAGGUACUGAGCCCCCAUCACUGACACUCCAGCACUGACCCCCCACCAGAAUUGCUCCCUCAGCACUAAUCCCCCCACCACUGAUGCCCCCAGCACUGAUGCCCCCAGGUAUGGGUAUGACACCCAUACAACUAACACCCCAACACUGACACUGCCAGCACUAAUGUCCCCAGCACUAACAGCCCUGCACUGACACUCCCAGCACGAACACCCCAACACUGAGACCCCCAGCACUCAUACCUCCAGCACUGACAGCCCUGCACUGACACUCCCAGCACUGACACCCUCAACACUGAGACCCCCAGCACUCAUACCUCCAGCACUGACACCCUCAACACUGAGAACCCCAGCACUCAUACCUCCAGCACUGACACCCCCACCACUGAGACCCCCAGCACUCAUACCUCCAGCACUAACAGCCGGGCACUGACACUCCCAGCACUGACACCCCCACCACUGAGACCGCCAGCACUCAUACCUCCAGCACUGACAGCCCCAACACUGAGACCCCCAGCACUGAGACCCCCAACACUGACACCCCCAGCACUGACACCCCUAACACUGAGACCCCCAGCACUGACACCCCCAGCACUCAUACCUCCAGCACUGACAGCCCCAACAGUGAGACCCCCAGCACUUAUACCUCCAGCACUGACACCCCCAACACUGAGACCCCCAGCACUGACACCCCCAGCACUGACACCCCCAGCAUUCAUACUUCCAGCACUGACAGCCCCAACACUGAGACCCCCAGCACUGACACCCCCAACACUGAGACCCCCAGCACUCAUACCUCCAGCACUGACACCCCCAACACUGAGACCCCCAACACUGAGACUCCCAGCACUCAUACCUCCAGCACUGACAGCCCUGCACUGACACUCCCAGCACUGAUACCCCCAACACUGAGACCCCCAGCACUCAUACCUCCAGCACUGACACCCCCAACACUGAGACCCCCAACACUGAGACCCCCAGCACUCAUACCUCCAGCACUGACAGCCCUGCACUGACACUCCCAGCACUGACACCCCCAACACUGAGUCCCCCAGCACUCAUACCUCCGGCACUGGCAUCCCCAACACUGAGACCCCCAGCACUAACACCCCAACACUGACGUCCCCAGCACUGACACCCCAACAUUGACGUCCGCAGCACUGACACCCCUGGCACUGAGACC
rnacentral:lncRNA from 1 species